rnacentral:rRNA from 1 species
GAUGAACGCUGGCGGCGUGCCUAAUACAUGCAAGUCGAGCGAACGGACGAGAAGCUUGCUUCUCUGAUGUUAGCGGCGGACGGGUGAGUAACACGUGGAUAAUCUACCUAUAAGACUGGGAUAACUUCGGGAAACCGGAGCUAAUACCGGAUGAUAUUUUGAACCGCAUGGUUCAAAAGUGAAAGACGGUCUUGCUGUCACUUCUAGAUGGAUCCGCGCUGCAUUAGCUAGUUGGUAAGGUAACGGCUUACCAAGGCAACUAUGCAUAGCCGACCUGAGAGGGUGAUCGGCCACACGGGAACGGAAACACGGUCCAGACGCCUACGGGAGGCAGCAGUAGGGAAUCGGCCGCAAUGGGCGAAAGCCUGGCGGAGCGACGCCGCGUGAGUGAUGAAGGUCUUCGGAUCGUAAAACUCGGUUAUGAGGGAAGAACAUAUGUGUAAGUAACUGUACACAGCGUGACGGUACCUAAUCAGAAAGCCACGGCUAACUACGUG